UACGGGGGGGGGCAAGCGUUGUUCGGAAUUACUGGGCGUAAAGGGCUCGUAGGCGGCCAACUAAGUCGGAUGUGAAAUCCCCAGGCUUAACCUGGGAAUUGCAUCCGAUACUGGAUGGCUUGAAUCCGGGAGAGGGAUGCGGAAUUCCAGGUGUAGCGGUGAAAUGCGUAGAUAUCUGGAGGAACACCGGUGGCGAAGGCGGCAUCCUGGACCGGCAUUGACGCUGAGGAGCGAAAGCCAGGGGAGCAAACGGG
rnacentral:rRNA from 1 species